GAGUUUGAUCGUGGCUCAGGACGAACGCUGGCGGCGUGCCUAAUACAUGCAAGUCGAGCGAGUCCCUUCGGGGGCUAGCGGCGGACGGGUGAGUAACACGUAGGCAACCUGCCUCUCAGAUCGGGAUAACAUAGGGGAAACUUAUGCUAAUACCGGAUAGGUUUUCGGAUCGCAUGAUCCGAAAAGAAAAGGCGGCUUCGGCUGUCACUGGGAGAUGGGCCUGCGGCGCAUUAGCUAGUUGGUGGGGUAACGGCCUACCAAGGCGACGAUGCGUAGCCGACCUGAGAGGGUGACCGGCCACACUGGGACUGAGACACAGCCCAGACUCCUACGGGAGGCAGCAGUAGGGAAUUUUCCACAAUGGACGAAAGUCUGAUGGAGCAACGCCGCGUGAACGAUGAAGGUCUUCGGAUUGUAAAGUUCUGUUGUCAGGGACGAACAAGUACCGUUCAAACAGGGCGGUACCUUGACGGUACCUGACGAGAAAGCCACGGCUAACUACGUGCCAGCCG
rnacentral:rRNA from 1 species